rnacentral:rRNA from 1 species
UGAGGGCCCUCUGGGUCCACCUCCCACCCGUGUCUAUCGUACCUUGUUGCUUCGGCGGGCCCGCCGUUUCGACGGCCGCCGGGGAGGCCUUGCGCCCCCGGGCCCGCGCCCGCCGAAGACCCCAACAUGAACGCUGUUCUGAAAGUAUGCAGUCUGAGUUGAUUAUCGUAAUCAGUUAAAACUUUCAACAACGGAUCUCUUGGUUCCGGCAUCGAUGAAGAACGCAGCGAAAUGCGAUAAGUAAUGUGAAUUGCAGAAUUCAGUGAAUCAUCGAGUCUUUGAACGCACAUUGCGCCCCCUGGUAUUCCGGGGGGCAUGCCUGUCCGAGCGUCAUUGCUGCCCUCAAGCACGGCUUGUGUGUUGGGCCCCCGUCCCCCUCUCCCGGGGGACGGGCCCGAAAGGCAGCGGCGGCACCGCGUCCGGUCCUCGAGCGUAUGGGGCUUUGUCACCUGCUCUGUAGGCCCGGCCGGCGCCAGCCGACACCCAACUUUAUUUUUCUAAGGUUGACCUCGGAUCAGGUAGGGAUACCCGCUGAACUUAAGCAUAUCAAUAAGCGGAGGAA